GUACGACGGAGCACGUGAAAUUCCGUCGGAAUCUGGGAGGACCAUCUCCUAAGGCUAAAUACUCUCUAGUGACCGAUAGUGAACCAGUACCGUGAGGGAAAGGUGAAAAGCACCCCGGAAGGGGAGUGAAAUAGAACCUGAAACCGUGUGCUUACAAGUAGUCAGAGCCCGUUAAUGGGUGAUGGCGUGCCUUUUGUAGAAUGAACCGGCGAGUUACGAUUUGAUGCAAGGUUAAGCAGUAAAUGUGGAGCCGUAGCGAAAGCGAGUCUGAAUAGGGCGUUUAGUAUUUGGUCGUAGACCCGAAACCAGGUGAUCUACCCUUGGUCAGGUUGAAGUUCAGGUAACACUGAAUGGAGGACCGAACCGACUUACGUUGAAAAGUGAGCGGAUGAACUGAGGGUAGCGGAGAAAUUCCAAUCGAACCUGGAGAUAGCUGGUUCUCUCCGAAAUAGCUUUAGGGCUAGCCUCAAGUGAUGAUUAUUGGAGGUAGAGCACUGUUUGGACGAGGGGCCCCUCUCGGGUUACCGAAUUCAGACAAACUCCGAAUGCCAAUUAAUUUAACUUGGGAGUCAGAACAUGGGUGAUAAGGUCCGUGUUCGAAAGGGAAACAGCCCAGACCACCAGCUAAGGUCCCAAAAUAUAUGUUAAGUGGAAAAGGAUGUGGCGUUGCCCAGACAACUAGGAUGUUGGCUUAGAAGCAGCCAUCAUUUAAAGAGUGCGUAAUAGCUCACUAGUCGAGUGACACUGCGCCGAAAAUGUACCGGGGCUAAACAUAUUACCGAAGCUGUGGAUUGUCCUUUGGACAAUGGUAGGAGAGCGUUCUAAGGGCGUUGAAGCAUGAUCGUAAGGACAUGUGGAGCGCUUAGAAGUGAGAAUGCCGGUGUGAGUAGCGAAAGACGGGUGAGAAUCCCGUCCACCGAUUGACUAAGGUUUCCAGAGGAAGGCUCGUCCGCUCUGGGUUAGUCGGGUCCUAAGCUGAGGCCGACAGGCGUAGGCGAUGGAUAACAGGUUGAUAUUCCUGUACCACCUAU
rnacentral:rRNA from 1 species